AUAGCACUGAAAAUGCUUAGAUGAAUCUAAAAAAAUCUUAGACACAAAGGUUUGGUCCUAACCUUGUAAUCAUUUUUUACUUAAUUUAUACAUGCAAGUCUCCGCACCCCUGUGAGAACGCCCUUAAUCUUCUUCUUGAAACAAGGAGCUGGUAUCAGGCACAUUUAUUAGCCCAAGACACCUAGCUAUGCCACAUCCACAAGGAAAUUCAGCAGUAAUUAACAUUGAGCAUAAGCGCCAGCUUGACUCAGUUAAGGUAAAGAGGGCCGGCAAAUAUGGUGCCAGCCGCCGCGGUUACACCACGAGGCUCAAAUUGAUUACUUUCGGCGUAAAGCGUGAUUAAAGUUACUCAUUAACUAUAGUUGUAUUUUAACUAAGCUGUGACACGCUUGUUCUUAAGAAACUCAAAAACGAAAGUUACUAUAUGUAGACCAACUUGAACCCACGACAGCUGAAGCACAAACUGGGAUUAGAUACCCCACUAUGCUCAGCCGUAAACUUUAAAUUACAUCCUUAUCGCCCGGGAACUACGAGCGAAGCUUAAAACCCAAAGGACUUGACGGUACCCCACAUCCACCUAGAGGAGCCUGUCCUAUAAUCGAUAACCCCCGCUAAACCUCACCAUUUUUAGUCAGUCAGCCUGUAUACCUCCGUCGUCAGCUUACCUCGUGAGCGAUAUCUAGUGAGCUUAAUGUCUUUACAUCAAUACGUCAGGUCAAGGUGCAGUAAAUGAAAUGGGAAGAGAUGGGCUACACUUUCUAACUUAGAACACACGAAAGACUACCUAUGAAAUCUAGUCAGAAGGCGGAUUUAGCAGUAAAAAGGGAGCAUAGAGCUCUUUUUAACCCGGCACUGGGGUGUGUACACACCGCCCGUCACCCUCUUCAAAGCCAAAAUAACAGUACAUAACUCAAUUUAGCACCCCAGAAGAGGCAAGUCGUAACAUGGUAAGCGUACCGGAAGGUGUGCUUGGAAACAAAAUAUAGCUUAACCAAAGCUCUCGCUUACACCA
rnacentral:ncRNA from 1 species